GAAGCAAAUCAUCCUCUUGCUCUUCCUCUUCGUCCUGCUCUGUGCUCUGGAGGCGCCAUGUGAUCCUGGGAAGAGGACGCCAGUGGAAGGUGUCCUCAAUAAGAGAUUCAGGAGAAAGACCACUGACCCAAGAAGACCACUGACCCAACUCAUGGCCAAAUGAAUCAGAAGUACUGGAGGUUGGAGACAGAGAUCAAAUGGCAGCACUGUUGGAUUCUGCUGUUUCUCUGUGAUCGAAAUGAACAACCAAAACUCAGAAUUUCUCUUGUUCUUAUGUUCUUCAUUCAUGCACCAUGAAGAAGAAAUUUCUCAGUGAGGAGAGAGUAGCAGUUACUGUGUAAGUGGGAGACCAUGGCUUGCUGCAUCUCUGGAGUAAACUCUCAGAAAUGUUGGGUGCUGCUUUGACGUACACAAAGAAUGGGAAUAAAUGCAGACUCUACCUGACUGAUGAUGUCUGACAUGGAUUCAUGUGAUAUUGUAAAGCAGGAAGACAAGGUCACCCUGGAAAAUCAGCUUCUACAAUGAAGGCUUUAUUAACACGCUUUCUGGAUGGACUUCAGGGAGUCUGAAUUUUUUUUCACACGAUAACAAAUUAGUUGGAUGUAGGAGGGGCAUAGCAUUAUAGAUUUGUCAUUUUAUGGAGAAUGAAAGUUAAAUUUGAACAGUCUUUGUACACACGAAGGACUGGAGUACACAUUUCACUGUAGGUAAAAUGGGCUCUUAAGUAGUUUAUCUUUGUGACAUUCCUGUCUGCCACAUUUUCUCCCCACAGCAAAUUGAAAAAUCUGGCUUAGGCUGUGAUCUGCAGGGGUGGUGUUCUGCCUGAACUUAAGAUGUGGUCAACCUAGAAGCCAACAUCUCUAGGAACAGACUUUUUGUACUGGUGAGGGGAGGAGAGGAGCAGAGUCCUAGUAAGUCCAAUAAUAAAGUCCUGGAUUAACAGACAAGUUUGGAAGGCAGUGCUAGCUGUAAGCCAGUCUUCUCACCUUAAUCUGAGAUCUUCUCUUGUCCCCAGUUUCAUCCCCAGUCUACACUUGGGGUUCUCAAGUCUGGACACCAAAAGCAGAAACAUCUCGCAUUGCAAAAGUCUGGGAAACAUGCAGCAGCAGCAAGAACAGAAAGAGUGCUUGGGGAUCCCGUCCAAAGUUAUAAUGCAAAGGAAAGGAAAGCAGCCCUCUGUGAGGAACGUGGAUGGAUAGUUUGGCAGAUGCUUCAACUGCUGUGUGGCAAGGCCAAGAGGAAGGAAAAUAUAUUCCAUUUUGGAGAUGACAUUUUCAAGUUUCACAUUCUAAUUAUUAGACACUUUCUCACAGUGUUUGCACUGUUUCAUUUUUAGAUGAAAAAUGAUUUAACACCCCAGUGUUAGAACUCUUCAUGAUGACAUAUUAUGUUCAGCUUGGGUCAUUCAAGUUCAAAGGUCCAGAGGACUGGGAAGACUGCUGCAAAGUGGUGUCUUCUGGACACAAGGAUGUUGCACCAAUAAACUCACAGCAGCUGUGGAAGACUGAAUAUUGAGGAGGAGGUACAGGUGGUCCACAGCUACUGGAGAAGGAAGAGUGGGUUUUCUUCAGGGAUGGGGACACUGGUAGGUUGCCGAUGCUCCAGUGGUUAUUCAAAGUACAAGAAGAGCACAUGAAUUUGAGAGCGAGAUGUUUGUGUGAGGAACUGAGGAGUUGUUGGGAAUAGGGUUGGUUAUGAUGAAAUGAGUUGUAUUUGGGUGAAGAUAAUAGCUACUUCCUGUGGGAGGAAAUGUGGAAGAACACUAGGCCAUUUUGCCAAUUCUUUUCCUGAAUUCAUAUGCCUUUCAUGAAAUCAAAGAUUAUUUUGAAAAAGAAGACAUAAUAAAAGCAUAGACAUAAUAAAACAAUGUAAUAUAUAAAAUGAAAUAGAGUAGUUGAUUUUCCUUUUUCUCUAGCAUUUGGUGUUUUUUUAACAGUAAGUGAACUGAGACCAACAGAGCAUUUCUCACCAUGACUGGGCUCCCUGGCAGAUGUUAGAGGGGUACUGGGUGGUGGCUGCAUGCUGUUCUUGUUAUCUGAAUGCUGAAGCCCUCCCCAGUCCUGACCAUCCUUCUUGCUCUUGGGGAAUGCUAGCCAUGAAUCUGCACUUAGAUGAAGGCCUUCACCUACUGAGACAACAAGCUGACAUAGUUUUGCAAGGUGUGUGUGUGUGUGUGUGUGUGUGUGUGUGUGUGUGUGUGUGUGUAAGUUUAUGAGGUCAGAAAUGCCAGGGUGUGUUAGUGUACUGACUGUAAUUGUUAGAUUUGAAAAAUGGGGUGAACCAAGUAAAAGAACAAAGAC
ensembl:lncRNA